rnacentral:misc_RNA from 1 species
AUGAAAUCUAUUAUUUAUUCACAGCCGACGACACAAUUUCACACACGACAGUAGGAUUCAGCUAUAAAAUAAGUAAAAUUCACAUAUUUAUAUUUUCAAUUCAUAAUAAAUUAAGUCUAAAUAAGUUUUUUUUUAUUAUUUAAAUAUUAAUCAAACACUCGAUCUUGGCAUUUAAACUAUAUAAACACGUUUCAAUUAACUCCAAUUAAUACAUGACAAAUGAACAAUUAAUAUGAAGCCACACAUAGACUGCAGCCUAAUAAGGCAGAUAUCCUUAUCGCAAGAGUGCUUCAUUGAGAGAUUUCAUAGCUUCUUCAGCAAUAAUUUGGUACAUUUUUUCUGUUGGAUGAACAGCAUCCCAAAAUGCAUACUUGGAUGCAUCAGCACAAGUGUUCAUGCCUCUGCAUGAAUUGCCAUAUUCUGUAGUUCCUGAUCCACAGCAACCCUUCGAAGUCUCCACUAAACCUGCCAUAGAAAACAUGAAAAGAAAAUAAAUAAUAAUAAAUUAAUCAGCCCCUUUCCUACCUAAUUUUUAAUGGGUUGACAUGAUUUUAUACAUAUGUGCUAACCAUAUUCUUUGGGGCUAUCCACAGCAUUUUUAAUUAUUGUAUAGCAAUCAACAUAUGCAUCUUUAAUCCCUAAUGUUUUCCUGAGUAUGGCUAGCUUCUCUUGUAGCUUGGAAUUGAAUGAUGAGGCCACUUGGUUAUAAUUUUGAUCACAUGUCCUUGCAUCCUUUAGCGUCUUGACAAGUGGCAUGCAGCCCAAAGGAGGCACUCCAACAACAAUCAAUCUAGUGGCUCCCAGUCUAUGCAUUUCCUGCAACAAAAAUAAAUUAUUAGUUGAUGAUUGUUCACCAAGAAUACUAAGGAAGAAAAUGAAUUCAAAAGUAGAGCUAGCAAAACAGUAGAGGAGCUGAGUUGGCUUGAAAUUGAUUGUAAACCUUAAUUGAGAUUGUACAUUUCAGCCUAACUUCUUAAAAAGGAUCGAAUGAGUGGAGACUCGAAUCAGAAAUCUAUCAGGUGAGUUAUAUGCUUUCAGCCACUGAAUUAAGUCAAGCUAUAUAUAUAAUUUCUUUUAUUCAUUUGAUUUUAAAUGGGAUUUAUUUGAACUUGAGAAUUAAAUAUUGAUUCAAUCUAUGUAUUUGUUACAAAGAUAUAAAAAAAUAAAAGACAAAGUAAAAAAAAAAAAUUGAUACAUGUACCUUGAAAUUCUCGACCAUACGGGACACCAAGUAAUUUUGGUAUUCUUCCACAGUGAAUUGCUUGGAGCGAAUUGGUUCCAAGUAAUAAUUUUGAAGAAAAUCAUUGGUGCCCAUGCUCACAACAAAAAUAGCAUUUCUUAUUGUAUUGUCAGCCUUUUGCUUGCCUACCAACUGAUCCAGGUGAAGCUUGUAGUGCUUGAAGUACUCCAGCUGCUUAGAAACGGGCAACACAUU